rnacentral:rRNA from 1 species
UGGGGAAUUUUGGACAAUGGGGGAAACCCUGAUCCAGCCAUCCCGCGUGUGCGAUGAAGGCCUUCGGGUUGUAAAGCACUUUUGGCAGGAAAGAAACGUCAUGGGUUAAUACCCCGUGAAACUGACGGUACCUGCAGAAUAAGCACCGGCUAACUACGUGCCAGCAGCCGCGGUAAUACGUAGGGUGCAAGCGUUAAUCGGAAUUACUGGGCGUAAAGCGUGCGCAGGCGGUUCGGAAAGAAAGAUGUGAAAUCCCAGAGCUCAACUUUGGAAAUGCAAUUUUAACUACCGGGCUGGAGUGUGGCAGAGGGAGGUGGAAUUCCGCGUGUAGCAGUGAAAUGCGUAGAUAUGCGGAGGAACACCGAUGGCGAAGGCAGCCUCCUGGGAUAACACUGACGCUCAUGCACGAAAGCGUGGGGAGCAAACAGG